UCAGGAUAAACGACUGGCGGCGCACAUAAGACAUGCAAGUCGAACGGACUUAACCAUUAGUUUACGUAUUGGAGCGGUUAGUGGCGGACUGGUGAGUAACGCGUAAGCAAUCUGCCUAUCAGAGAGGAAUAACAGUAGAGAAAUCAUUGCUAAUACCGCAUAAGCUGUGAGUAUCGCAUGAUACAAAUAGAAAGGAGCAAUCCGCUGAUAGAUGAGCUUGCGUCUGAUUAGUUAGUUGGUGGGGUAACGGCCUACCAAGACGAUGAUCAGUAGCCGGACUGAGAGGUUGAACGGCCACAUUGGGACUGAGAUACGGCCCAGACUCCUACGGGAGGCAGCAGUCGGGAAUAUUGCGCAAUGGAGGAAACUCUGAACCGCAGUGACGCCGCGUGCAGGAAGAAGGUUUUCGGAUUGUAAACUGCUUUAGACAGGGAAGAAACAAAUGACGGUACCUGUAGAAUAAGCUCCGGCUAACUACGUGCCAGCCGCUGC
rnacentral:rRNA from 1 species